CACGUAGGGGGCAAGCGUUGUCCGGAUUUAUUGGGCGUAAAGAGCUCGUAGGUGGUUCAGUAAGUCAGGUGUGAAACCUCCAGGCUCAACCUGGAGACGCCACUUGAUACUGCUGUGACUGGAGUCCGGUAGGGGAGCGUGGAAUUCCUGGUGUAGCGGUGAAAUGCGCAGAUAUCAGGAGGAACACCAGCGGCGAAGGCGGCGCUCUGGGCCGGUACUGACACUGAGGAGCGAAAGCGUGGGGAGCGAACAGG
rnacentral:rRNA from 1 species